rnacentral:rRNA from 1 species
AUUGAACGCUGGCGGCAUGCCUUACACAUGCAAGUCGAACGGUAACAGGUCUUCGGAUGCUGACGAGUGGCGAACGGGUGAGUAAUACAUCGGAACGUGCCCGAUCGUGGGGGAUAACGGAGCGAAAGCUUUGCUAAUACCGCAUACGAUCUACGGAUGAAAGCAGGGGACCGAAAGGCCUUGCGCGGACGGAGCGGCCGGUGGUAGAGUAGGUAGUUGGUGGGAUAAAAGCUUACCAAGCCGACGAUCUGUAGCUGGUCUGAGAUGACGAUCAGCCACACGGGGACUGAGACACGGCCCAGAAUCCGACGGGAGGCAGCAGUGGGGAAGUUUGGACAAUGGGCGCAAGCCUGAUCCAGCCAUGCCGCGUGCAGGAUGAAGGCCUUCGGGUUGUAAACUGCUUUUGUACGGAACGAAAAGACUCUUUCUAAUAAAGAGGGUCCAUGACGGUACCGUAAGAAUAAGCACCGGCUAACUACGUGCCAGCCGCCGAGGUAACAC